CGUAGGGCGCAAGCGUUGUCCGGAUUUAUUGGGCGUAAAGAGCUCGUAGGCGGCUUGUUGCGUCGACCGUGAAAACCCGCGGCUUAACUGCGGGCUUGCGGUUGAUACGGGCGGGCUGGAGUUCGGUAGGGGAGACUGGAAUUCCUGGUGUAGCGGUGAAAUGCGCAGAUAUCAGGAGGAACACCGGUGGCGAAGGCGGGUCUCUGGGCCGAUACUGACGCUGAGGAGCGAAAGCGUGGGGAGCGAACAGGAUUAGACACCCUGGUAGUCCACGCUGUAAACGUUGGGCGCUAGGUGUGGGGGUCCUCUCCGGGUCUCUGUGCCGCAGCUAACGCAUUAAGCGCCUCGCCUGGGGAGUACGGCCGCAAGGCUA
rnacentral:rRNA from 1 species